rnacentral:rRNA from 1 species
UACGUAGGGAGCGAGCGUUGUCCGGAAUUACUGGGUGUAAAGGGAGCGUAGGCGGGAUCGCAAGUCUGAUGUGAAAACUAUGGGCUUAACCCAUGAACUGCUUUCAAAACUGUUUUUCUUGAGUAGUGCAGAGGUAGGCGGAAUUCCCGGUGUAGCGGUGGAAUGCGUAGAUAUCGGGAGGAACACCAGUGGCGAAGGCGGCCUACUGGGCACCAACUGACGCUGAGGCUCGAAAGUGUGGGUAGCAAACAGG